UUGGAGGAGCACCCAGAAUGCGGCCAUACGAAUCUUAUUUGGUAUGACAUAGAAAAGAAAAGAUGCUACAGGGUUAAGAAUCGGAGUUUUCCGUAUGUGUUUAAGGUGGCAACUUGUAUCGGGAGUCUUCUUCUCCUUGAUGGUGAUUAUGUGAUUGAUCCUACGCAGAAGAAGAAUAAGAGGAAGAGGAAGAGGAAUUAAUGUCCAUCAGAAUCUCUUGGGAAAAGCAUUAGAAUGCAAAAAGGAUAAAGAGGCGAUUGUGGAAUCGACUUUAUCUUUCAAAAGUAAUAUUUAAUUAUUGAUUUUGUGGUGUUGACUAGCUAUAACAAAAGCUGGAUUAUUCAUGUCUUAUGGUAUAUUUAGCUAUUUUUUUCAUCUUGUCAAUGUUAUUGAAACUUAUGAAUAUCUAAUAUGAUAAAGCUUGUUCUUGGAAGAUUAUA